CCUACGGGGGGCAGCAGUAGGGAAUCUUCCACAAUGGGCGCAAGCCUGAUGGAGCAACACCGCGUGAGUGAAGAAGGGUUUCGGCUCGUAAAGCUCUGUUGUUGGAGAAGAACGUGCGUGAGAGUAACUGUUCACGCAGUGACGGUAUCCAACCAGAAAGUCACGGCUAACUACGUGCCAGCAGCCGCGGUAAUACGUAGGUGGCAAGCAUUAUCCGGAUUUAUUGGGCGUAAAGCGAGCGCAGGCGGUUGCUUAGGUCUGAUGUGAAAGCCUUCGGCUUAACCGAAGAAGUGCAUCGGAAACCGGGCGACUUGAGUGCAGAAGAGGACAGUGGAACUCCAUGUGUAGCGGUGGAAUGCGUAGAUAUUAGGAGGAACACCAGUGGCGAAGGCGGCCUGCUGGGCUUUUACUGACGCUGAGGCUCGAAAGUGUGGGGAGCAAACAGGAUUAGAUACCCCUGUAGUC
rnacentral:rRNA from 1 species